GUCGAGGGGCAGCGGAGGCGAGUGCUUGCACUUGCCAGACGGCGACCGGCGCACGGGUGAGUAACACGUAUGCGACCUGCCCGUAGCAGGGGGAUAAGCGGAAGAAAUUCCGUCUAAUACCGCGUAAUAUCUUUCGGGGGCAUCCCUGAGGGAUUAAAGGAAGCGAUUCCGGCUACGGAUGGGCAUGCGGCGCAUUAGCUAGUCGGCGGGGUAACGGCCCACCGAGGCGACGAUGCGUAGGGGUUCUGAGAGGAAGGUCCCCCACACUGGUACUGAGACACGGACCAGACUCCUACGGGAGGCAGCAGUGAGGAAUAUUGGUCAAUGGGCGAGAGCCUGAACCAGCCAAGUCGCGUGAGGGAAGACGGUCCUAUGGAUUGUAAACCUCUUUUGUUGGGGAGCAAAAAGGCCUCGUGAGGCCACAAGCGAGAGUACCCGAAGAAAAAGCAUCGGCUAACUCCGUGCCAGCAGCCGCGGUAAUACGGAGGAUGCGAGCGUUAUCCGGAUUUAUUGGGUUUAAAGGGUGCGUAGGCGGACUGGAAAGUCAGCGGUAAAAUCGAGAGGCUCAACCUCUUUCCGCCGUUGAAACUGUCGGUCUUGAGUGGGCGAGAAGUAUGCGGAAUGCGUGGUGUAGCGGUGAAAUGCAUAGAUAUCACGCAGAACUCCGAUUGCGAAGGCAGCAUACCGGCGCCCAACUGACGCUGAGGCACGAAAGCGUGGGUAUCCUUCAAGGGUAGAUACCCUNUAGUCCACGCAGUAAAGGCCCCUAUAGAGUGUCCGGUCAGAAUGAUGACUGGGUGAUACAGCGAAAGCGUUAAGUAUUCCACCUGGGGAGUACGCCGGCAACGGUGAAACUCAAAGGAAUUGACGGGGGCCCGCACAAGCGGAGGAACAUGUGGUUUAAUUCGAUGAUACGCGAGGAACCUUACCCGGGCUCAAACGUAGAAUGACAGACGGUGAAAGCCGUUCUCCCUUCGGGGCAGUCUACGAGGUGCUGCAUGGUUGUCGUCAGCUCGUGCCGUGAGGUGUCGGCUUAAGUGCCAUAACGAGCGCAACCCCCAUCUACAGUUGCUAACAGGUAAAGCUGAGGACUCUGUGGAGACUGCCGGCGCAAGCUGUGAGGAAGGCGGGGAUGACGUCAAAUCAGCACGGCCCUUACGUCCGGGGCGACACACGUGUUACAAUGGCAGGUACAGCGGGAAGCCAUAUGGCGACAUAGAGCGGAACCCGAAAACCUGUCUCAGUUCGGAUUGGAGUCUGCAACUCGACUCCAUGAAGCUGGAUUCGCUAGUAAUC
rnacentral:rRNA from 1 species